AUUGAACGCUGGCGGCAUGCCUUACACAUGCAAGUCGAACGGCAGCACGGACUUCGGUCUGGUGGCGAGUGGCGAACGGGUGAGUAAUACAUCGGAACGUGCCCAGUUGUGGGGGAUAACUACUCGAAAGAGUAGCUAAUACCGCAUGAGAACUGAGGUUGAAAGCAGGGGAUCGUAAGACCUUGCGCAACUGGAGCGGCCGAUGGCAGAUUAGGUAGUUGGUGGGAUAAAAGCUUACCAAGCCGACGAUCUGUAGCUGGUCUGAGAGGACGACCAGCCAUACUGGGACUGAGACACGGCCCAGACCCCUACGGGAGGCAGCAGAGGGGAAUUUUGGACAAUGGGCGAAAGCCUGAUCCAGCAAUGCCGCGUGCAGGAUGAAGGCCUUCGGGUUGUAAACUGCUUCUGUACGGAACGAAAAGCUUCGGGUUAAUACCCUGGAGUCAUGACGGUACCGUAAGAAUAAGCACCGGCUAACUUCGUGCCAGCCGCCGCGGUAACAC
rnacentral:rRNA from 1 species